GAGGUGUGAAACCUCAAAAGCCAGGAUUUGGCAACGGGAAUAAGAUGGGAGCCAGGGUCUUCCAGGGAGUCGAAGCCCAGCCAGGCUAUGGAGGAAAUGGAAAACACCAGAAGACAGG